CUGAGUUGCUCAUCCUUGCCUUUGCCAAGCCAGCCUGGUUGGUGGGCCUCCCUUCUGCUAUCAUGUCACCACUGCACGGACCAGGGCUGGACGGAACGAUGCUGAUGAGCAUCCCGAAUACAUAAUCGACGAGGACGGCCUGUGCAAAGGGAUGCAUCUUGCCAAGUCCCCUCAAAGUGGGUCAUCACUUUGCCACUCGGUCGGACCACUAAUUUUGCCUUAUAAUGAGCCAUAACAGUGAAAUGCAUCCAAAAGAAUAAAUAACCAGCUGCUGACUGAACAUUUAAAGUGACAUACAAUUAUUUUCUUCUGAGAAACUACUAGCAGUUCACAUAAUGGAUUUUCAAAGCCUUAUGUGGCCUAAGGUCACACUGAAUAGCUGACCAGUUCUGAACCUUCAUGCCUGGUGAACUUGCUGCUACUUUGUUUGAAAGUCAAAUGCAACAUGUCCUGAACAACCAACCUAAUUUAGUACCAAGUCUUCUAAGCUGAGACCUUGGAAGUGGACGCAGCCUGAAAUCCAAAUCCCAGAAGCGGAUGUGAAACAAUGACAGCAUUCAAUUUUUCUUAGUUUCAUUGAGAGACCUAAGAGUGGCACUGUGACUUGGGUAGCUAACCCAAACACAGGGUUGCCAAGCUGCUCAUCCAGCUGUGGUAAGAGCUGGUAUUCUAUUAACUGCAUCACUAACCCAUCCAUAUGGGUAACACCCUGGCCAGACUGGAAUUCAAUCCCAGAUACAUCAUCUCCAAAAAGGUGUCAGUGCAGAGGAUGGUUCAUUGUUGAAAAGCUGAUCCAAUGAUACUGAAUCACCACUCACUGGAGGCUGGCAUUACAAUAUUGAAAAUUGCAGAAAACAAGUGUUUUUUGUUGUUGUUUUUUUAAAGGGCUUCCAUACUGGAGAGAACUUUCAAACAGAUCAAAUCUAACUGUAAACCUUCCCCUUUUCAUUAUCUCUUUACUCAGCCAUGUGAGUAUGAUUCAAGAAGGCUUUAGCUCAGGUUUUCUCUCCUACAGGCUGCCUUUUGUUCUUCUUGUUUGACCCUGAAAGCAACAUCAUGCUGCUGAAUUUUUCACAUCACAAUCAUUUCCCAGAUGUGAAGAUUAUUAGUUCCGUGCAGGAUUUCAGGUGAGGUGGGCUGUGAAAAUGCUACAUUGCCAGAGGGUGGACAGAUACUAGAGCAGACAACCAACCAAUAGAGUCCCCUAUCUAAUCUGGAGGCCCAGUCGCAUGCACAAAUACAAGGUAAAAAAUUAUGCACAUGACAGGGAAUGCAGAAGACCCUAAUCCUGCAUUAAUAAGAGCACUGUGGUGUGUUUGCCAGGUUUCCCCUGCCUUGUAGUAAGAUCCUAAGAUGGGAGUGUAUAACUCAGUAUAUCACUUGCACUUAAGAGACUUGCAUUUAAGCCCAUAGCUCCUCCACACCCUGCAUGUUAUAUAUUCUGCAUUCUUGAGACUAAGGGAGUGGGCUUGGGAUUUAAUUCCAGUGAGUAUGAACGACUAUGCACAUCAGAUCACCCUACCUGUGCUCAUGCAUAGCCUCCACUUACACUUGUGCUGCAGCCCAACAACUCUGCACAACCUGUAAGGACUUGGAGGACCGAGGCCUCUGUGUUACCACAGCUAAGACUCAGACUUGGACUCUGGUGUGGGUCUGUAUGGAGCAGCUAUAUGAAAUAAUCCAGAAUAAUUCAUUUUACCCUUGCCUGUGCUGGUAGAAGCUGGAAUGAGAUAGUCUCCUCUGGAAGUCACCCCACACUGGCCUUGCAUUCUGCUGGGAGUCACAUAUCUCUAGCUGAACAGAAAGGAGCUGUGUUAAACGGGUCUUUAUUGGAGAUCACCUUCCUGGUUGAGCUAUUAGGUGCUGUGCUGAACUCUAUCAGCUUGCUGGUAAGAAUUCUAUAUAGCUUGUCUCAGCUGGGAGUCGCCCUCUGCAGAUCUUAUACAGUAAUGGAGAAACUCCUUAUUAAAAAGUAAUUAUUUUCAGUAAUACCAAAGGAAAAAUCUCUGGCCUGGUAAAAUUUCUAGAGUGGUUUUUCAACCCUGAGAUAGGGCUAAAAUCUAUAACUCUAAACUUGCAGAUUCAUCUGCUAUUGCCUUGUAAAAGUCCCAAGGAACAGUGAAGAACAGUAGCACCAAGCUUUCAUAUAGCCUUUUUUCAACAGUAGAUCACAAAGUGCUUUAUGAAGUAAGGUCAUUAUCAUUAUCCCCAUUUUACAAAUGGGGAAACUGAGGCUCAGGGAGGGAAACUGACUUGCCCAAGGUCAUAAGAAUGGCCACACUGGGUCAGAUCAAAGGUCCAUCUAACACAGUAUCCUGUCUUCCAACAAUGGCCAAUGCCAGGUGCCCCAGAGGGAAUGAACAGAUCAGGUAAUCAUCAAGUGAUCCAUCCCCUGUCGCUCAUUCCGAGCUUCUGGCAAACAGAGGCUAGGGACACAACCCCUGCCCAUCUUGCUGGACCUAUUCUCCAUUAAUGUAUCUAGUUAUUUUUUCAAACCUGCUACAGUGCUGGGCUUCACAACAUCCCGUGGUAAGAAGUUCCACAGGUUGACUGUGCAUUGUGUGGAGAAAUACUUCCUUCUGUUUGUUUUAAACUUGCUGCCAAUUAAUUUCAUUUCAAUUGAAAUUUGCUCACUCAGCAGGACAGUGGCAGAGGCAGGAACAGCAGCCAGGUUUUCUGAGUUCCAGUCCAGUGCUCUAUCCACUAUAUCCCACUGAUGAAACAAUACAGAGUGUGCCUCAGAAAGCACUGGAGGGAGUAAUGCAGUGCCAUGCAACAGGCUUGCCCCCCAACCUAGGACAGAUCAGUGGCACCUCAAUUUUGUUAACAUUUGCCAGAAUCUGUGGUCCAGAUUGAACAUGGCUCAAUGUGUAUGUUAAACCAUCUGAAGUGAACUCAGUAUUUCUUCUGAGGAUCCUGAAAUAAUACAUCAGAUUUAGAUUCAGCUCUACAAACAUAUGAAAAUGCUAAGGACAGAGAACACCAUGGUGUGAGAGGAAAAACAGAGCUGUUUAUUCAGUCUGAUUACAUCAGAGACACUAGGACUGUCAUGCGCAGCCCUGACAUCUGUUUUCUGCCACUGGAGCAGAGGAAACUACACAAAGAAAACCUGAUGCCCUUAAAUAUUUCUUUACUUAAUCCUUCAAAAGACAAUGUAGGUACCUUCCCUCUGUCCCUCCCCUUUCCCACCCCCUUGCACCUCUACUGUACAAAAGGAAAUCAUUAAGCAACUGUACAUGUAAUGGGGGGUGGGGAAUGGCAGACUGCCAACCUCAGGAAGAAUCAAACACAAAUCUCUCAUCCCCACUCUCAUGCAAAGCACUUUGUGUAUGCGUUUAGUCAUCAUCUCCUCCUGCAGUUUAGGGGAAAAUCUCGUAGGGAGGGCUUGCAUGGGUCUCUGGAAUUUGAUCAAUUGUGCAGGGUCUGACUGAGUGGGCAGGGCUUGUCGAGGUGUGCAGCGAUUGCUCAGAUGUACACGACUCACCCAGGUGUGCAGUGCUUGCAGGGAUGUGCUGGAGUAGACAGGGUUUGGCUGGGUGAGCUGCUCAUGAGCAAACUAUCCGAGGAAUGCUUUGGUUUGUCAACUAUCCCAUACCUGAGUUAUGACAGAUUGAUAGAUUCAGAGAACCUGUGACUGAAGCUGUCAUUUUUUUUUUUUUUUACAGGCUUGCCAAGCCUCAGCACCCACAUUAUAUUUUAUUAAUUAUUCAUUGUUAUGGUCUGCAUUUCUGGAUAAUUUUAGAAAAACAAAAUGGCAGCUGAAUGUCAAAUAUUAAUCACAGCAGCAGCAAAAUUUACCUUCAUGUCAACAGCUAUGUCAGAAAGAAUCCUCUGUUUUUCAGCUGUAGGUUAAAUAUUCCCUCUCUGGACAUCUGGAUGGCAAAACCCUUUAAUAGAAUCUCAAUUUGAGGAUCAGUUUAUUAAUUUAUUUACAUGUGUAUCAUUUUUAUGAUUAAAUGAAUUAACAAUAACUAUCAAAGCAAAUAUACUUUUAAAAUGUGAGUCAGGGAGAGGGUGAGUAAGAGGCCAAUAGCCACUCAAACACCAAAGAUUUAUAGCUUUUCUUAGCCAAAUUCUACAGUAAUGUUGUUGUAAUCAGCCCCUGAGAGCCGUGAAAUAACACCAAGACAAAAAGGGAGAGAGCCAAGGAAGGAAGCAGAGUCUUAUUUAACUUAUGAAAUGUUCUACAUGACUGUUACCUAUAUUUAGUGCUCUUUUUCAAUAAGAUGUAGCGAUUAUGGUGAGUAAUUAUUGUCAAACGGUAUUUUAUUAGCAGUUAAAAACAGUGCUCAGCACUGUGCAAGACACCAAAAUAAAGACAGCCCUUGUCCUGAAGAGAGACACAGACAACGGGGGGCCUGAUUCUCUGUAGCUCUGCUCCUUGUGUACCUGUUUCCUCUCGCACGAAGGGGAUGCAAAAACAUAAUCAAAUCAGAAUAGAGAUGCUUGAACUUGAUGCCGUGUCCAAGGGUAAGCCAAUGGAGGGAUCCAAAGAGUGGGAGUGGCAAGUUCAGUUCAACGGACCACGAAGAUAAUUUUAGCAGAUAUAUUUUGAAUGGAUGCAUGGCAGGCUAACGUUACCAGUUGAACAUCAGCCUUUGUAUUUCUAAUUCUCAGGAAUGUAUGGGCAUCUUCAGUCAGAAUACUGCCCAGUUGGAGCACCAGGUAGCCUAUGCAGCUUGGCAGAGAAGCUGGGCAAAGUUUAUGUUGAAUUUGGCAUCGCAGAGAUAAACUUUAAAACUAGGUUUCAGAGUAGCAGCUGUGUUAGUCUGUAUCCGCAAAAAGAACAGGAGUACUUGUGGCACCUUAGAGACUAACAAAUUUAUUUAUUUAAAACUAGUUAAACUUUACUUGCCUGCCUAAAGCUCUAAGCUGAAAUCAGUUAAUCAACUCAUAGAAACUAGAGAUGGAAGAGACCUAAUAGAUCAAGUCUCUUCCAUCCCUCAAGGUGGCCGAUGGAGGUGAAAAAAUAUACACUGAAUGUGCGUUUGGGUUCAGCCGAAGCCCAGUCUUCACUAGUGGCUUGGUCUCUCCUUACUGCUUAUCCAGAGAGGAACACUGGGCAGGGGAGAGAGGAUGUAUUUUGCAGUCACAAACACCAGUAAUGAGAGGCUUUCUUGGUGCAGCAGAGGAGAUUGGCAGAUAUUCGAUUCACGAUUCUUCUGGUUAAAAGCUUUGGAAAUUCUUCAGGCGUUGCUGUGAAACAAGAGUGUUCCCCUGGGAAUUAAGAGAGUGACUCUCUGUCCUGCCCUGGGAGCAGCUUUACCUCUUGAGGGCCCCUUUGCUACAAGGGAGUCAAAUGUUUAGUUUCAUCUCGUGAAGCUCUGGAAUUACCACACAUUUUACUUUUACACACUGAAGAGGAAAAACAAGGAGAAAUUUUAGAAAGCACUGUGGUUAAAUAGCCUUUACCACUAGCAACCUUCUGCCUCCAAGAAUUAGUCCUCUUCCUAGCAGGGACAAACCAGAAUUUGUCUACCCACUCUCUGGGAGUGGCAUUGAGUUGUUUGGAAUGGGGGGGGAGGGGGAGGGAAGAAGGGAAGGUAACUAAAACAAAGCAUAAUUGUAAAGAUUUUAAAGCCUGUUUUUCUUCCUUCAUGAACUAGACUGUUCCAUCAGUGCUGGUUGACAUAAGGAGUCUUUGGAAUAUUUACCAUCUACAGAACCUCUCUAGCUACUUAAGCAUUGCUAUUUUGCCUUUGAUGGUCUGUAUUACCUAAACUUUACUUGCUCUAAUACCCAAAACAAAUUUGCAGCACAGCAUGUCACCAGACGUGGAUCCUAAGUUCCAACAGCUUUAAAAUAGACCAGAACACUUUGCUUCCCAAACAAAGGUACUUUGUUAAAAUAGAAUUUCAUAUUCUCUCCCCUGUAUAUGUUGUAAAAUUACUGUACACCCAAGUGAACUGUUAAACUGCUGAACAGUAGAAGCUUAAGUGUGCCAUUAAUUUCUGGGUGACUUUUGGUUAUCUUUCAGAGAAUUAUGAAACCAACAGCUGUUGCAGUAAUGGUAUUCUUACACAUUUUCUUUUCUUGUGGAUAAAAAGCUAAAUGACUUCAACAGUGACAAGGGUCAAUUCUACACAUUGCACCAAAUUUUCAAAGGGGCCUCAAACCAACCUCCAAAUUUGAAUCCACAACAUGUACGUUGAAAAGCUUGACUGAGUGCACAAAUGGCACUGCUGCAUCCAGACAAUGCUUGCAAGUGCUGCUUGUGCAACCAGACUCAGGUUUUCAUAGACACAAAUAAUCCACAACAUUUUGGACAUUUUUCCUUUUAAGUUUUCCUUCUAUGUCAUGUCACACCUGAUAAGAACAUACGAAUGGCCAUACUGGGUCAGACCAGAGGUCCAUCCAGCCCAGUAUCCUGUCUGCUGACAGUGGCAAAUACCAGGUGCCCUAGAGGGAGUGAACCUAACAGGUAGCGAUCAAGUGAUCUCUCUCCUGCCAUCCAUCUCCAUCCUCUGACAAAAACAGUCUAGGGACACCAUUCCUUACCCAUCCUGGUUAAUAGCCAUUAAUGGACUUAACCUCCAUAAAUUCAUCUAGUUCUUUCUCUCUGAUGCUUUCGGGGUGAGCUUCCAGACCACGGAGAAGGCUUAAACAUUUAGUUCUACACAUCAUACAGACAUUGUUUUAUUUUCCAAUACAGUUAAUGGGAAAAACAUGCUGUCCUAGACUGGUCAUUUGGUUUUCCUGUAAAAUACAUGCUGGAGAAGCGGGUUGCUGAAUAAAAGUUAACAAUGGUAAAAUGGCACAGCUGGAUUCAAGGUAAACAAGGAGAGGUGCCACAAGAGAGAAGACUGAAAAGGGGAAAGCCUGAUCUAAGCAGAAGUACUUCCUGUAUGGUUCUUAACCCUAAAUCAAAUGUCCAAGAUUAGUAAACUGGAACGUGCCCAACAUGGGAGCUGGCUAAAAUGUGCAGCAGCUUGCUUUUUUCCAGUUAACUGGAGAAAGAGAGAAGGAGAUUAAGAAAAUAAUAGAUAUGCAUGGGAGGAGGGGAAAGGGAAAGAGAGACAAACCAAAACACAAAAGGGGUGCUUUAAACAUAGUUCCCAAUGUUAAUGCCCCACCUAAUUUUUGCACGAAUGAUUAUGUGAGCUACCAAACACUGGAGAUGGGUUGCUAACAUUUGCUUUUUUGUUUUGUAAAAAUGCUGGAUUUAGGUGUAUUUCGUUUGGCUGGGUAUUUGCUGUGGAUUCCAGCCGAAAAGGAUUUGUGAAGCAAACAGCCAAAUCAGAGGAACUAUUUUCUUGUAUUUUUAGGAA